UACAGAGGGGGCAAGCGUUGUUCGGAAUUACUGGGCGGAAAGGGCGCGUAGGCGGCCUUCUAAGUCGAACGUGAAAUCCCUGGGCUCAACCCAGGAACUGCGUCCGAUACUGGAAGGCUUGAAUCCGGGAGAGGGAUGCGGAAUUCCAGGUGUAGCGGUGAAAUGCGUAGAUAUCUGGAGGAACACCGGUGGCGAAGGCGGCAUCCUGGACCGGUAUUGACGCUGAGGCGCGAAAGCCAGGGGAGCAAACGGG
rnacentral:rRNA from 1 species